rnacentral:rRNA from 1 species
GCCUAGCCCUAAAUCUUGACACUUCCCCCACUAAAGUGUCCGCCCGAGAACUACGAGCACAAACGCUUAAAACUCUAAGGACUUGGCGGUGCCCCAAACCCACCUAGAGGAGCCUGUUCUAUAAUCGAUAACCCACGAUUCACCCAACCACCCCUUGCCAAAACAGCCUACAUACCGCCGUCGUCAGCCCACCUUAGUGAAAGAAUAACAGUGAGCACAAUAGCCCGCCCGCUAGCAAGACAGGUCAAGGUAUAGCCCAUGGGGUGGAAGAAAUGGGCUACAUUUUCUGAAACAGAAAACCUAACGAAAGGAGAUGUGAAAUCGUCUCCAGAAGGCGGAUUUAGCAGUAAAGCAGGACAAUAGAGCCCCCUUUAAACCGGCUCUGAGGCACGU